rnacentral:rRNA from 1 species
ACGCACGCUGGCGGCAGGCUUCACACCUGCAAGUCGCGCGCCCCGCAAGGGGAGCGGCAGACGGGUGAGUAACGCGUGGGAACGUACCUUUUGGUUCGGAACAACUCCGGGAAACUGGAGCUAAUACCGGAUAAGCCCUAACGGGGAAAGAUUUAUCGCCGAAAGAUCGGCCCGCGUCUGAUUAGCUAGUUGGUGAGGUAACGGCUCACCAAGGCGACGAUCAGUAGCUGGUCUGAGAGGAUGAUCAGCUACACUGGGACUGAGACACGGCCCAGACUCCUACGGGAGGCAGCAGUGGGGAAUAUUGGACAAUGGGCGCAAGCCUGAUCCAGCCAUGCCGCGUGAGUGAUGAAGGCCUUAGGGUUGUAAAGCUCUUUUGUCCGGGGAGAUAAUGACUGUACCGGAAGAAUAAGCCCCGGCUAACUUCGUG